UACGUAGGUGGCGAGCGUUGUCCGGAUUUACUGGGCGUAAAGCGCGCGUAGGUGGCUUUGGAAGUCCUGUCGUGAAAGGUCGCGGCCCAACUGCGACAGUGCGGAGGAUACUCCAAGGCUUGAGGGCAGCAGAGGUCGGUGGAAUUCCCGGUGGAGUGGUGAAAUGCGUAGAUAUCGGAAGGAACGCCGGUGGCGAAAGCGACGUGCUGGACCUUUUCUGACGCUGAGGCGCGAAAGCCAGGGGAGCAAACGGG
rnacentral:rRNA from 1 species